rnacentral:tRNA from 1 species
UGGGAUGUAACUUGGUUGGUAGAGUGCUUGCCUAGUAUGCAUGAAGCCCUGGGUGCCAUUCCCAGCACCACAU